CCAGCUCCAAUAGCGUAUAUUAAAGUUGUUGCAGUUAAAAAGCUCGUAGUUGAAUUUCUGAUUAUGGGUGUAGAGGUCACACUUUACAUUUAUAGUCAUCCACAUGAGAACCUUUCUCGGCCUUCACUGGUCGGUUGGGGGAUCAUGUACUUUACUUUGAAAAAAUCAGAGUGUUUCAGGCAGGCGUUUGCAUGAAUACACAAGCAUGGAAUAAUGGAAUAGGACUAGGGUCCAUUUUAUUGGUUAUUGGACCAUAGUAAUGAUUAAUAGGGACAGUUGGGGGCAUUAGUAUUUAAUUGUCAGAGGUGAAAUUCUUGGAUUUAUUAAAGACUAACUUAUGCGAAAGCAUUUGCCAAGGAUGUUUUCA
rnacentral:rRNA from 1 species